UAACAAGGACACCAAGGUACCCAAUGCCUGU
rnacentral:piRNA from 3 species